GUCUACGGGUGGCAGCAGUGGGGAAUCUUGCACAAUGGACGAAACCCUGAUCCAGCCCAGCCGCGUGAACCAUGAAGCCGCUAGGGCGGUAAAGCGAUGAAUCCGUAGGGUAUAAACCCCGCUCUCCGCGAGUGAGUGACGGUACCUCAGAAUAAGCACAGCUGCUUCG
rnacentral:rRNA from 1 species